rfam:Myotis lucifugus cont2.15343, whole genome shotgun sequence.
GGCGGUCCUUAGGUGAUGCACCCCGUAAUCGGGCUCCCUCCUCUCUGGUUCCAGGUGUAUCACCUGAGAACCGCA